rnacentral:lncRNA from 10 species
CCAACAAAACACCUUUUCCAGAACAAGGAAAAGGCUGGUCUUGGACACAGUGUUUACUUGUGGGGCUAGGUUGGAGACAACAGCUAUCAGGGAAGCUCUUCUCAUGAUGACGACAGAAGUAUAUAAGAGGAACCGCAGUUGUGCAAGCAUGACUGAAGCUACUGCUUGAGAUACUCCUGCUAACUUCCGACUGACCAAAGCAAGGACAGACUGGAAAAAUGCAUUCCACCUAUGAAACGAUGCAAGUGAAAUUUUGGUGCUGUGACUCGGAUCAGGGGCCUCCCUUGGAAUAUCAAUCCCCUGUCCUCCUGCUCUUUGUUCCGUGAGAAAGAUCCACCUACGAUCUCUGGUCCUCAGACCAACCAGCCCAAGGAACAUCUCACCAAUUUUAAAUCCGGUAAGUGGCCUCUUUACUCUCUUCUCCAACCUCUCUAUCCCUCAACCUCUUUCUCCUUUCAAUCUUGGCACCACACUUCAAUCUCUCCCGUCUCUUAAUUUCAGUUCCUUUCAUUUUCUGGUAGAGACGAAGGAGACACCUUAUAUCCAUGGACCCAAAACUCCGGCGCCAGUCACA